rnacentral:tRNA from 1 species
GCGGGGGUUGCCGAGCCUGGUCAAAGGCGGUGGACUCAAGAUGCUCUUCUUUCGCCAAAUGAAGGCCUCUCCA